rnacentral:sRNA from 1 species
ACCCUUCCGGUUGCAGCCUGAAAAAUCAGGCUGAUGGCUGGUGACUUUUUGGUCACCAGCCU